AUUGAACGCUGGCGGCAUGCUUUACACAUGCCAGUCGAACGGCAGCGCGGGCUUCGGCCUGGCGGCGAGUGGCGAACGGGUGAGUAAUGCAUCGGAACGUGCCCAGUAGUGGGGGAUAGCCCGGCGAAAGCCGGAUUAAUACCGCAUACGACCUGAGGGUGAAAGCGGGGGACCGAAAGGCCUCGCGCUAUUGGAGCGGCCGAUGUCGGAUUAGCUAGUUGUGGGGUAAAGGCUUACCAAGGCGACGAUCCGUAGCUGGUCUGAGAGGACGACCAGCCACACUGGGACUGAGACACGGCCCAGACUCCUACGGGAGGCAGCAGUGGGGAAUUUUGGACAAUGGGGGCAACCCUGAUCCAGCCAUGCCGCGUGCGGGAAGAAGGCCUUCGGGUUGUAAACCGCUUUUGUUCGGGAAGAAAUCCUCUGGGCUAAUACCCCGGGGGGAUGACGGUACCGGAAGAAUAAGCACCGGCUAACUACGUG
rnacentral:rRNA from 1 species